ensembl:snRNA predicted gene, 24695
AGCUUUGGGCAGUGUCAGUAUCUUAGCCAGUGAGGUUUAUCUGAGGUGCGAUAAUUGCUAAUUGAAAACUUUUCCCAGUAAGG